AGUGAACGCUGGCGGUAGGCCUAACACAUGCAAGUCGAACGGCAGCACAGUAAGAGCUUGCUCUUACGGGUGGCGAGUGGCGGACGGGUGAGGAAUACAUCGGAAUCUACUUUUUCGUGGGGGAUAACGUAGGGAAACUUACGCUGAUACCGCAUACGACCUACGGGUGAAAGCAGGGGAUCUUCGGACCUUGCGCGAUUGAAUGAGCCGAUGUCGGAUUAGCUAGUUGGCGGGGUAAAGGCCCACCAAGGCGACGAUCCGUAGCUGGUCUGAGAGGAUGAUCAGCCACACUGGAACUGAGACACGGUCCAGACUCCUACGGGAGGCAGCAGUGGGGAAUAUUGGACAAUGGGCGCAAGCCUGAUCCAGCCAUACCGCGUGGGUGAAGAAGGCCUUCGGGUUGAAAAGCCCUUUUGUUGGGAAAGAAAAGCAGCAGGUUAAUACCCCGCUGUUCUGACGGUACCCAAAGAAUAAGCACCGGCUAACUUCGUG
rnacentral:rRNA from 1 species